AUUGAACGCUGGCGGCAGGCCUAACACAUGCAAGUCGAACGAGUGGCGGACGGGUGAGUAAUGUAUGGGGAACUGCCUGAUGGAGGGGGAUAACUACUGGAAACGGUAGCUAAUACCGCAUACCAUCGGAUGUGCCCAUAUGGGAUUAGCUUGUAGGUGGGGUAACGGCUCACCUAGGCGACGAUCCCUAGCUGGUCUGAGAGGAUGAUCAGCCACACUGGAACUGAGACACGGCCCAGACUCCUACGGGAGGCAGCAGUGGGGAAUAUUGCACAAUGGGCGCAAGCCUGAUGCAGCCAUGCCGCGUGUAUGAAGAAGGCCUUCGGGUUGUAAAGUACUUUCAGUCGGGAGGCGUUACCUGCAGAAGAAGCACCGGCUAACUCCGUGCCAGCAGCCGCGGUAAUAC
rnacentral:rRNA from 1 species